UAUGUACUCCCUCCGUCCCGAAUUACUUGUCACAGAAAUGGAUGUAUCUAUAUCUAGAGGUAUUCUAGAUACAUCCAUUUCUGUGACAAGUAAUUCGGGACGGAGGGAGUAUAAU
rfam:Triticum aestivum genome assembly, contig: Triticum_aestivum_CS42_TGACv1_scaffold_640932_T_7BS-0.183216_7BL-0.098617